UUGUCGUCAGCUCGUGUCGUGAGAUGUUGGUUAAGUCCGCAACAAGCGCAACCCCUAUUGUUAGUUGCCAUCAUUCAGUUGGGCACUCUAGCGAGACUGCCGGUAAUAAACCGGAGGAAGGUGGGGAUGACGUCAAAUCAUCAUGCCCCUUAUGACCUGGGCUACACACGUGCUACAAUGGUUGGUACAACGAGUUGCGAGUCGGUGACGGCGAGCUAAUCUCUUAAAGCCAAUCUCAGUUCGGAUUGUAGGCUGCAACUCGCCUACAUGAAGUCGGAAUCGCUAGUAAUCGCGGAUCAGCACGCCGCGGUGAAUACGUUCCCGGGCCUU
rnacentral:rRNA from 1 species